rnacentral:rRNA from 1 species
AAAUUGAAGAGUUUGAUCAUGGCUCAGAUUGAACGCUGGCGGCAGGCCUAACACAUGCAAGUCGAGCGGAAACGAGCUAUCUGAACCUUCGGGGAACGAUAACGGCGUCGAGCGGCGGACGGGUGAGUAAUGCCUAGGAAAUUGCCCUGAUGUGGGGGAUAACCAUUGGAAACGAUGGCUAAUACCGCAUAACGCCUACGGGCCAAAGAGGGGGACCUUCGGGCCUCUCGCGUCAGGAUAUGCCUAGGUGGGAUUAGCUAGUUGGUGAGGUAAGGGCUCACCAAGGCGACGAUCCCUAGCUGGUCUGAGAGG